GAUCAAAGUGUAGUAUCUGUUCUUAUCAGCUUAAUAUCUGAUACGUGGCUCAUUGAGUCACUACGAUAUUAAACUGAUUUUUGAAUUCGGACUAUGUGAACGGGGUUUACUCCGCCAUAGUCACGGGUUGGCC
rnacentral:snRNA from 1 species